CAAAGUUCUCGUUUUAUGUGGUGCCCAGUGUGGGGCCCUGGUGUGAGGAUGGAGGCUUACAGAAACCAUUAAGGACUGAAAGAAAUAAGUUUCUACAUCAAUUUUUCAGCAGUAAUCUAUAACUUCACCAAUUUGGACUCCCAGAAAUACCAUGAUCAGGCUGCAUAUAGUGAACAAGAAGUAAGAAUCAUGACCAGAGCCGGGCGUGGUGGCGCACACCUGUAAUCCCAGAGGCUGAGGCAGCAGGAUCGCUGUGAGUUCAAGACCAGCCUGGGUGACAUACUGAGUUCCAGGUCAGUCUCAACUACAUAGUGAGACCCUGUAUCAAAAAAAAAAAAUGCAUAAGGACAAAAU
rnacentral:lncRNA from 1 species